UUGGGCUUUUAUUAGGGAAAUAACACAACCUAAGGGAAUUGUUUUUAAGGACAAGCCUAAGAAAAAAAGGCUUCAUGGUAUGACAAAAUAUGUGCUGCAUUAACUGGGGAGAGCCCUGUGGACAUCACUGGCUCUCAGCCUGGGAUCUGGCAGUCUUUCAUCUGAUUUAAUUUUGACCUUCAUUUCCUGUAGGAAUGCAAAGGGAUUUUUCUUUCAUCCACUGGAACACCCGGAAAAGAAAUUACCCAUCAUUCAGGAAUGUUUAUUCCUUCAGCUCUGAGUCCAACAUGAAUCAAACUAUGACACAACUGGCUGCUUUUCUAGCUACUUUUAUGAUGAGAUUUGAUACUUUGCAGGUAACUCACCCUAGGAUUAAGGGAAACACAAACAGGUUUUCCACGGGCAGGUGACAGUGCUGAGGACUCGUUCUGCUGUGUUGCGACACCGGCAACACGAGGCCCAGUGACCUGAGCUGGAUGGGGCUGGAGACACAGGAAGAAUUGGGAGGCUGAUCCCAGAGCUCCGUCCUGCUGUGGAUCCUGUCAUAAAUCUUUGUUGUGUUCGUGAUGCCACCUGUGCCUGUCCCAUAAUCUUUGUCAUACCAUUACCACAGAACUUGACAAAGGAGCAGCCUUUUGUAGAUCAUCCUUGUACUAUUUCUAAUUUACUGGCUCUACAGGCUCCGUCAUUCUCUGCCUGGUAUGAAGCAUUUACCUGCUCUGUAAACAAAUUCAUCCCAUUUCUACUGAUGGAGUAAGUUGCUGUUCAGCCACACCGUGGCAAAACAUGGUUU